rnacentral:rRNA from 1 species
UGACGGUACCCUUUCGAAUAAGAGGUUGCUAACUCUGUGCCAGCAGCAGCGGUAAUACAGAGACCUCGAGCGUUAUCCGGAUUUACUGGGCGUAAAGCGUCUGUAGGGGGUUUGUUAAGUUCCAAGUAAAAUCUUAAGGCUCAACUUUAAGUUCGCUUGGAAAACUAAUAAACUGGAGUCCAGCAGAGGUGCAUGGAACUUGCGGUGUAGGAGUGAAAUCCGUUGAUAUCGCAAGGAACACCAAAGGCGAAGGCAUUGCACUGGGCUGGUACUGACCCUGAGGGACGAAAGCGUGGGGAGCAAAACGGAUUAGAUACCCGUGUAGUCCACGCCGUAAACGAUGGAUACUAGAUGUUCGGGGAUUCGACCCCCUGGGUGUCACAGCUAACGCGUUAAGUAUCCCGCCUGGGAAGUACGGCCGCAAGGCUAAAACUCAAAGGAAUAGACGGGGAUCCGCACAAGCGGUGGAGCGUCUGGUUUAAUUUGAUAGUAAGCAAUGGACCUCACCAAGGUUUGACAUCCUAUGACAACCCUGGAAACAGGGCUUCCUUCGGGCAUAGUGACAGGUGCUGCAUGGUCGUCGUCAGUUCGUGCCGUGAGGUGUUCCGUUAAGUCGGGAAACGAACGAAACCCUCGUCGCAUGUUACAAAUUUCAUGCGAGACUGCCCGGGUCAACCGGGAGGAAGGCGGGGAUGACGUCAGAUCAGCAUGGCCCUUAUACCUUGGGCUACACAGGCGCUACAAUGGCCGGUACAAAGGGUUGCAAAACCGCGAGGUGAAGCUAAUCCCAUAAAGCCGGUCCAAGUUCGGAUUGGAGGCUGCAACUCGCCUCCAUGAAGUUGGAAUCGCUAGUAAUCGUGGAUCAGCCAUACCACGGUGAAUACGUUCCCGGAUCUUGUACUCACCGCCCGUCACACCAAGAGAGUUGGUAGCUCCUGAAGCGUCGCACUAG